AUUGAACGCUAGCGGCAUGCUUAACACAUGCAAGUCGAACGGCAGCACGAGGAGCUUGCUCCUUGGUGGCGAGUGGCGGACGGGUGAGUAACGCGUAGGAAUCUGCCUUGUAGUGGGGGACAACUUGAGGAAACUUGAGCUAAUACCGCAUAAUCCCUACGGAGCAAAGCGGGGGAUCUUCGGACCUCGCGCUAUAAGAUGAGCCUGCGUUAGAUUAGCUUGUUGGUGGGGUAAUGGCCUACCAAGGCGACGAUCUAUAGCUGGUCUGAGAGGAUGAUCAGCCACACUGGGACUGAGACACGGCCCAG
rnacentral:rRNA from 1 species